AAAAAUCUUUAAAUAUCAGUCAAUAGUUAUUAGUUAUUGAUGACAUUUGGUAAUAUAUCGAUAUCUCUGUGUUCUCUUAUGUCUGUGUCGUCAACAUUUGAACAUUUUUGAGCGGUCCGCUCUUUCUGACUGUAAACAAAGCCGUUCUCCACCUCCUCUAACCUGAUUGGUUGUGAGGCAGACGCUGCUCCCUCGUGUCGUUCAGGAGCCCAAACAAAGUUAGCGUGCUACAAUAUCGGACAGUAGAAACCAACCAGAAAGUUCGGAAAAUUGUCUGAAUCCUCCUUUGGCCACGACUGCCGACACAAGCAAGAAAACACUCAAACAUAAACAGUCCGCAAGAAAACAGUCAACAAGAAAACAGUCAACAAAAAAACAGUCAACAAGAAAACAGUCAACCAUAAUCAGUCCGCAAGAUAACAGUCAACAAGAAAACAGUCAGCAAGAAAAUGUCAACUAUAAUCAGUCAACAAGAAAACAGUCAGCAAGAAAACAGUCAACCAUAAUCAGUCAACAAGAAAACAGUCAACAAGAAAACGUCAACCAUAAUCAGUCAACAAGAAAACAGUCAGCAAGAAAACAGUCAACACCAAACCGGUCAACAGGAAAACGGUCAACACCAAAACAGUCAACAAGAAAACAGUCAGCAAAAAAAAACAGUCAACACCAAAACAGUCAACAAGAAAACAGUCAGCAAAAAAACAGUCAACAAGAAAACAGUCAACCAUAAACAGUCAACAAAAAACAGUCAACAAGAAAACAGUCAACCAUAAACAGUCAACAAAAAACAGUCAACAAGAAAACAGUCAGCAAGAAAACGUCAACUAUAAUCAGUCAACAAGAAAACAGUCAACACCAAAACAGUCAACAAGAAAACAGUCAGCAAGAAAACGUCAACUAUAAUCAGUCAACAAGAAAACAGUCAACCAUAAACAGUCAACACCAAAACAGUCAACAAAAAACAGUCAGCAA